rnacentral:rRNA from 1 species
UAGGGAAUCUUCGGCAAUGGGGGGAACCCUGACCGAGCAACGCCGCGUGAGUGAAGAAGGUUUUCGGAUCGUAAAGCUCUGUUGUUAAGGAAGAACGAGUGUGAGAAUGGAAAGUUCAUGCUGUGACGGUACUUAACCAGAAAGGGACGGCUAACUACGUGCCAGCAGCCGCGGUAAUACGUAGGUCCCGAGCGUUGUCCGGAUUUAUUGGGCGUAAAGCGAGCGCAGGCGGUUAGAUAAGUCUGAAGUUAAAGGCAGUGGCUCAACCAUUGUAGGCUUUGGAAACUGUGUAACUUGAGUGCAGAAGGGGAGAGUGGAAUUCCAUGUGUAGCGGUGAAAUGCGUAGAUAUAUGGAGGAACACCGGUGGCGAAAGCGGCUCUCUGGUCUGUAACUGACGCUGAGGCUCGAAAGCGUGGGGAGCGAACAGG